UACGUAGGUGGCAAGCGUUGUCCGGAUUUAUUGGGCGUAAAGGGAGCGCAGGUGGUUUCUUAAGUCUGAUGUGAAAGCCCACGGCUUAACCGUGGAGGGUCAUUGGAAACUGGUCGACUUGAGUGCAGAAGAGGGAAGUGGAAUUCCAUGUGUAGCGGUGAAAUGCGUAGAGAUAUGGAGGAACACCAGUGGCGAAGGCGGCUUCCUGGUCUGUAACUGACACUGAGGCGCGAAAGCGUGGGGAGCAAACAGGAUUAGAUACCCUGGUA
rnacentral:rRNA from 1 species